GACGAACGCUGGCGGCGUGCUUAACACAUGCAAGUCGAACGAAGUGGCGAACGGGUGAGUAACGCGUCAUCAACCUGCCCUUCAGAGGGGGACAACAGUUGGCAAUGACUGCUCAUACCGCAUACUGAAGGAGGGGAGUGCGUCUGAUUGGCUAGUUGGAGGGGUAAAGGCCCACCAAGGCGAUGGUCAGUAGCCGGUCGGAGAGGAUGAACGGCCACAAUGGGACUGAGGCACGGCCCAGGAUCCUACGGGAGGCAGCAGUGGGGAAUCUUCCGCAAUGGAGGAAAGUCUGACGGAGCAACGCCGCGGGAGUGAUGACGGCCUUCGGGUUGUAAAGCUCUGUUAAUCGGGACGCGGUACCGGAAUAGAAAGCCACGGCUAACUACGUGCCAGCAGCCGCGGUAAUAC
rnacentral:rRNA from 1 species